rnacentral:rRNA from 1 species
GGAGCUUGCUCUGGUGAUUAGUGGCGAACGGGUGAGUAACACGUGAGUAACCUGCCCUUGACUCUGGGAUAAGCACUGGAAACGGUGUCUAAUACCGGAUACGAGCUUCAGCCGCAUGGCUAGGAGCUGGAAAGAAUUUCGGUCAAGGAUGGACUCGCGGCCUAUCAGCUAGUUGGUGAGGUAAUGGCCCACCAAGGCGACGACGGGUAGCCGGCCUGAGAGGGUGACCGGCCACACUGGGACUGAGACACGGCCCAGACUCCUACGGGAGGCAGCAGUGGGGAAUAUUGCACAAUGGGCGAAAGCCUGAUGCAGCAACGCCGCGUGAGGGACGACGGCCUUCGGGUUGUAAACCUCUUUUAGUAGGGAAGAAGCGAAAGUGACGGUACCUGCAGAAAAAGCACCGGCUAACUACGUGCCAGCAGCCGCGGUAAUACGUAGGGUGCAAGCGUUGUCCGGAAUUAUUGGGCGUAAAGAGCUCGUAGGCGGUUUGUCGCGUCUGCUGUGAAAACCCGAGGCUCAACCUCGGGCCUGCAGUGGGUACGGGCAGACUAGAGUGCGGUAGGGGAGAUUGGAAUUCCUGGUGUAGCGGUGGAAUGCGCAGAUAUCAGGAGGAACACCGAUGGCGAAGGCAGAUCUCUGGGCCGUAACUGACGCUGAGGAGCGAAAGCAUGGGGAGCGAACAGGAUUAGAUACCCUGGUAGUCCAUGCCGUAAACGUUGGGAACUAGAUGUAGGGGCCAUUCCACGGUUUCUGUGUCGCAGCUAACGCAUUAAGUUCCCCGCCUGGGGAGUACGGCCGCAAGGCUAAAACUCAAAGGAAUUGACGGGGGCCCGCACAAGCGGCGGAGCAUGCGGAUUAAUUCGAUGCAACGCGAAGAACCUUACCAAGACUUGACAUAUACGAGAACGGGCCAGAAAUGGUCAACUCUUUGGACACUCGUAAACAGGUGGUGCAUGGUUGUCGUCAGCUCGUGUCGUGAGAUGUUGGGUUAAGUCCCGCAACGAGCGCAACCCUCGUUCUAUGUUGCCAGCACGUAAUGGUGGGAACUCAUAGGAGACUGCCGGGGUCAACUCGGAGGAAGGUGGGGAUGACGUCAAAUCAUCAUGCCCCUUAUGUCUUGGGCUUCACGCAUGCUACAAUGGCCGAUACAAAGGGCUGCAAUACCGUAAGGUGGAGCGAAUCCCAAAAAGUCGGUCUCAGUUCGGAUUGAGGUCUGCAACUCGACCUCAUGAAGUCGGAGUCGCUAGUAAUCGCAGAUCAGCAACGCUGCGGUGAAUACGUUCCCGGGCCUUGUACACACCGCCCGUCAAGUCAUGAAAGUCGGUAACACCCGAAGCCAGU